AUGGAGUGGUAUCCAUAUCUGAAUUCAUAGGAUAUGAGAAGGCAGACCCGGGGAACUGAAACAUCUAAGUACCCGGAGGAAGAGAAAGCAAAUGCGAUUCCCUGAGUAGCGGCGAGCGAAACGGGAUCAGCCCAAACCAAGAGGCUUGCCUCUUGGGGUUGUAGGACACUCUGUACGGAGUUACAAAGGAACGAGGUAGAUGAAGAGGUCUGGAAAGGCCCGCCAUAGGAGGUAACAGCCCUGUAGUCAAAACUU
rnacentral:rRNA from 1 species